rnacentral:rRNA from 1 species
GACGUAGGUGGCGAACGUUAUCCGGAUUUAUUGGGUUUAAUGGGUGCGUAGGCGGGCUAUUAAGUCAGUGGUGAAAGCUCCGAGCUUAACUCGGAAACUGCCAUUGAUACUGACGGUCUUGAGUACAUUUGAGGUGGGCGGAAUGUGUCAUGUAGCGGUGAAAUGCUUAGAUAUGACACAGAACACCGAUUGCGAAGGCAGCUCACUAAACUGUAACUGACGCUGAGGCACGAAAGCGUGGGGAGCAAACAGG